rnacentral:rRNA from 1 species
GGCGAACGGGUGAGUAGCGCAUCGGAACGUGCCCAGUUAGUGGGGGAUAGCUCGGCGAAAGCNGGAUUAAUACCGCAUACGACCCACGGGUGAAAGCGGGGGACCGCAAGGCCUCGCGCUAUUGGAGCGGCCGAUGCCCGAUUAGCUAGUUGGUGAGGUAAAGGCUUACCAAGGCGACGAUCGGUAGCUGGUCUGAGAGGACGACCAGCCACACUGGGACUGAGACACGGCCCAGACUCCUACGGGAGGCAGCAGUGGGGAAUUUUGGACAAUGGGGGAAACCCUGAUCCAGCCAUGCCGCGUGCGGGAAGAAGGCCUUCGGGUUGUAAACCGCUUUUGGCAGGAACGAAACGGCGCGCGCUAAUACCGCGCGCUAAUGACGGUACCUGCANAAUAAGCACCGGCUAACUACGUGCCAGCAGCCGCGGUAAUACGUAG